UCACACACACACACGCGCCAAACACUCUCUCUCUCUCCUGUCUGUCUCUCCCUCCCUCAGCUUCACUCGCUCUUGUGCUGUAAGUUCAUUUGCUGUGUCAAGCAACAACUGGCUCGGGAGUGGGCAGUGGGUUUUGAUCCUUUUGUCAAGCGUCCCCCCUGCGAGCGUGUACCGCGUCCACCUGCACACCACGGGACUGGUCGCCUGGCUCUGUGUAGCAUCGCCUGGGUUUAUCACGACUGGGCAUCUCCAACCCGCACAACAAGAUGCUGCUGAGGGUUUGACGGGGUGCACCCUUUACAGUGGACUAUCAUCAUCAUCAUCAUCAUCGUGGAAAUGGGAAUCAAGAUAUGCACGCUCGCCGGAGGACCUCCACAGGGUCCUUGCAUCCCAGACGAGCCGUUGAGGGGCCCUUGCCUUGCGCUACAAAGCGUCUUCAAUCAAUUGUUUUGAAAAAGGCCGUUUUCCGAACAACAGGCAGGCGGUUCUGUUGUUUCUCUCUAUAAAGGACUCUCUUCGGUGACGGGUAUUCUUGGGUGGAUAAUACGGCUCUCGUUGUUAUUGCUUAAGAAUACGCGUAGUCGAGGAGAGUCAUGUCGGCGGCGAGAGAGCGUUGAAUCCAGAAGGCCCACCUGCCUGCACGCACACAUGCGUUUGGUUCACGCCCACAUCCAUUUAUUGAGUCAGCGAUACUGCAUUUCCUGUUUGUGAGUGUGUGUGUGAAGCUUGUGCUGUUGAUUUAUCUGGCGACUCCUACCAAACAUCUUUUCAGCCACCGGAUUUAUGAUUCGCCGAAAAAAGAAGGGAAUGGUGUAUGUUGUAACACAUCGGGCGGGGUUUAGAUGCAAAUGUGCCAUAUAUUCUUUCCUCAGGACCGCACACACUCUACCUUUUUAAUGCAAAUUGAUUUUGAAAUGACAUUUAUCGCGCAGGGUUUCCGUAUGGAGAGGGAAAAAAGAAUUGAAUGAAACGUCCACGAUGCCACUGACAGCUAAAUUUAUGCGGCUUGUAAAGGAACACACUGCAGAUAAACAGUUACCGAGGCUUUAGAUUGACUGCGGCGCGGCUUCCCAUGUAGGCACGCGUAUAUAUCUUGAAUGUAUCAUGAAUAUGUAUCAGGCCAGCUUAUGAUGCUGCCUUCUAACGCCCAUGAAAUCCAUUUAGGGAACCUAAUAGGAUCUACUUGACUUAUGAAAGCUUACCAUCAGGUCUUAUAAAUAUACAUGAAAUCAAAACAAAUGGAUUGCAUUUGGACCGGCUUGUUGAUGUACUGAUUUGUAAAAUCUGCAAACAUUUUAAUUCGUUCGCCAUUAUCAUGCAGCACGUUUAAGUGAUGUAUUAGCAUUUCAGAUAGACUAAAGGCAACAAUCAGCCCGCUCUAUCCUUGAUCACUCUGUAAUUAUCCUUCUUUCGGCUAUGUGUUUAAAUGAAUAGAGAGAAAAGAGGUGUGGAGGAGGAAUAAUGUAGUGUUUUACCACUAGGGGACCCACACAACUGAAAAUCACAUGCGAUUGUAUUGGUUUAAUUUAUUUGAAUGCCUUUUCUUGAAGAUUUAAAAUGAAUAUUGAUGAAAAUCCUUUUAGAUCCAACACAUUUUGGCUGCUUAAAAGGAGUUAAUUCUUAGCACGAACAUUUAAAAUGAAUGACGUUUCAUUUAUUCCUUUAUUAAUUUAUGCUAAACAGUGCCUUGAGAUGGAAUUGCGAGAAAGGUCACAUGCAGACCAUUUGCUUAGCCAUUAUAUGAUAUACUAGAGUAUUUUCUUGUAUUUAAGAUGCUUACUUUAUUCCAUGCUCUCAUAGUUCUGAUGUAUGAUAGCAUGUAGAUCGACUUUUUCUAUUUGUGAUGCUGUUGAGUAAAUAUCUCACUGUAAACUGAUUAACUUCCAUCUGUCUGCAGUUUAUGACGUGAUGAAAUUACUCAGGCCUUCACAGCUCAUCUUGAAAUAAUUUUUAUGUGCACAUCAUCUUUGUUCCUCCCCCUUAUAUUAUAAAUAAAGCUUGAUUUAAGUCAA